CGGGGUGGAAGUAAUGUCGUGGAACUGCCUGAUGGCGGGGGAUAACUACUGGAAACGGUAGCUAAUACCGCAUAAUGUCUGCGGACCAAAGCGGGGGACCUCCGGGCCUCGCGCCAUCAGAUGAACCCAUAUGGGAUUAGCUAGUAGGUAAGGUAACGGCUUACCUAGGCGACGAUCCCUAGCUGGUCUGAGAGGAUGAUCAGCCACACUGGGACUGAGACACGGCCCAG
rnacentral:rRNA from 1 species